UUUCAUUGUUUAAGUAGGAGGAAUGUGUUCUCUUAGUUAGAUUUUCCUUUAGUAUACACAGAGAUGCAGCUUUGCUUGUCAAAAACUAGAGAAAGGAUAUCUCUAUUUAAAUUAAAAAGGGUCGCCUGAAUUUUCAGCCCUAUACUAACAUUCCACCCUAAAUUUUUAGCCACUUGAAAAACCACCAUAAACAAUUUUAAUCUCGAUAAAACUACAUGUACUUUCGGAUUUGUUCUUAAAACUACGCCUCCAAUUGAACCGACCAGUUAACCGAUAAUUAUACAUCCGGUUUGACUUACCCAUAAUUUAUCCAAAACUAAUCCGAUUUUGACUCUAUUUUAACCCAAUUUAUACCCAAAAAAUAUAUUCUCUAGAAGAAAAAUACUUUUUAUUUAUUUUUAUUUAUUUUU
rnacentral:sRNA from 1 species